AUGCCUUAAACUUAUGAGUAAGGAAAAUAACGACCCGGGGUGACGCCCGGGUCCUCACUGCCAAUGUGAGAGGAAUUUUUGCGCGGGUACAGGUCGUCCCCGGGUGACCC
rnacentral:snRNA from 1 species